UGAGCCAUGAUGAACCCAACAUGCCAUCUGAACGCCAGUGCUGAAACCCAGAGGCUGUUUCUGAGCUG